UUUACUACAGGUAUUGUUACUUCAGCUAUCACCAUGGUAUCUGAAUAAUUUCCAGCAAUGUUAACAUGUGUGAAUAAUCUGUCAUGAGAGGUUCUUUCCUUCUUUUCAUCCUGGGAAAAAAUGGAAAGAAUAAAUGGAAAUGCAGUUUCUGUAAAAAAAAAAAAGUAUAUAUAAAAUAUUAUAUAGCAAUAUAGAAAUACAGAUUAUGUAUUAGAAUACGUCUAUAUAUUUAUAUAAACAUGUAUAGAUUUUCAUCAUUGCCCUUCUGAGGAUUGCUCAGGCUUUGGGAAGGAGUUGUUGUUUAAGGAAAUCAUCAAACACAAUGGAAAAUUUUUAUGUGGAGCAAAGGCAUCUUGACAGCAAAUAUCUAGUUAUCUACAUGGCCAGUAUCCAGACUGAGACUAUGGGCUAGAUAUUUUUUAGAGGAAAGUAGAAAAAAAUGGGCUCUGCUUCUGUAGUGUGAACAAUUUAAGAGUUUUGAACAGAAUGGAAUUAAUACAGCUUUGCAUUAAUCUUGUGCCUAAGCCAGUGAAGAAAAGGUGUUUGUUAAGUAUGGCAGUGAAACUUCCAGAGAGAACACUUGCCAGUACCCAUAUUCUAACACUUUUUGAAGCAAGGUGUUCUUAUCAAAUGAUUUUCUUUUUAAUGAUAGCUUAUUUUUACUUCCCAAGAAUAUGGAAAAUGUUAUGUACAUGGAUAGACAACUUCCGUCGUGGUUGCCUGUUUAGCAUAUGAAUGGAAAAGCAAAGAAGUUAUUUGAGCUUUCGGUGUGUGUUUGUUUGUGCUCCUGUGCACAACAGAGACAAAACAGGAAGAAAAAAGAAUCUGCGUGUGUUGGAAAAUGACCAAGGUGAACAGGCGAAUGUGUCAGCUCCUUGUCUUGCUGUUGUGGGAAUAUCUGAUAUCCUGCAGUUUCCUAGAGAAGUUACCUGACUUUGAUUUUUUGUUUAAUCAGAUUUCAUACAGCAAAACAGAAGCUGAAGGUCUGCUGUGUGUAACAGGUAUUCAAACCCAGACGUCUCCUACUCUCCUGCUACCAACUCCAGUUUUAGAAGACUGCCAGACAUCAGAAAGACACAAACAAAACUCUAUUUUUAUUUCUUCUUUCCUAGAAUGUUCCUUCAAAGAAAACAGAAUUUUAUUUAAGGCAUGAAAUAUUUCUUCCCUUUCCUAAUGCCCUCCUCUGCCAGUGAAAAAGUACUGCAGGUACUGAUGCGUGGCUCCUAUAUUUCUAGCUGGGGGGCACUGUCAAAGAGACAACCAAAAGUGUGGUGCUGAACACAGCAACAGCUUUCCCCUUCUUUCUGUCCAGAAGCCAAGAGAAGCAUAUGUCAACAUCCAUACUGGUUCCACAUGUUCCAGCCUCUGCUGGACAAAAAAAAAGGCACCAAUCCAGAGAGUGCUAAGAAACCUGUGGCAAUCUGGGAGGUCACUAUCAGUUGCUGGAGCAGGAUCAAGAGUGGAAGAAAAGUUCUAUUUUGCAAGAAUGCAGUAAGUGUCAGGUCACAUCAUGGAUUAGCAGCACUUCUGAGGACCUAGAAGAGCAAACAUUAAAGCCAAAGACAAACAGCAGUAGCCGUAUUGAAGCCUCUCACUAUGAGCUCAGGUGCCUCAAUGAUUUCUGGGAGGUGUGUUCCAAACCACAUCUUGACAGAAGAGAUCCUAUUAAACGUGAGCAAGAGUGUUGGAAUCUAUUUCUUUAUCAAGCUUUCAUGUCUUAGGGUAUUUGUGGGACAUUUGCUAAGAAGUCAGCAAUUGCACAUGUAGAUUCCUGAAUUCUACCUGGUGAUUUUUGAACCAGAUGCAUGAUAUCACCCAAAUUUGACAGAAAAAUGCAGGUCUGGAGGACAAUAAGGGAGGAAAAUUGUGAAACUCAUUGCUAAGACCCUGAUGGUGGUUGCAGUGGGAACCCCACAUGGCAGAGAUGGAUUGCACCUGUCUCAACCCCAGGAAGAAUUUCAGUGAAAAUUUCCAUCUUUUUGUAAAGCAAAAUUAGCAGGCCUCAGGAUGACCACUCAUAGAAAUCCGAGCUCCUUCAGUCCCAGAACUCAGUGAACUCCAUCUUUUCUGCAGACCUUCAAGCACAGACUAAAUGAAGGGAGGAAUGAACUGCAAAAGAAGACAUUCAUCUUGAUGUUUAAGAAUCCUAUCUCUAGAAGCGAAGGUUGAAAAAGCUGCAAGAGAAGGAGCAGUGGAAAAUAUGUAAUAUAGUUAGCCAAAACAGUAUCCUACAACAAGAGGAAAACAAGGUGUUAUCUGAUCCCAAGAUGCUUACCUUCAGGUAGGCUGGUUGCUAACAGAGAAAACUCUGAAUUGUAGCCUCUGCUUCGAUUUGCCAAUUUUCUGUCACAAGCUGGAAGAUGUAAUAACUGGACCAGGAGAUCAGAAGAGAGAUCUCACUCAGUAGAUGAAGAUGGAUCUCAAGUGCCAAUGUUAAACACAGGCUUGGGCUAAGGAGUGUUUCUUUAAUAAGGAUGAGGAAGGAUGGAGUAAGUUCUUGUCUCUGCCAGUGCCCUGCAGAAGUAGAUGAAAGUAUUCAGAGUCUCCAUCCUAUCCUGGUGAAUGAUGACCUAUCUGUAUUUAAUUACUUCUCUAAUGGUAAGCAAAAUCCUUGAGCACUGACCCUUUGGCAAGUAAAUCUUCACAACACAGACCACUGGUUGGCAUACAUCCUUGGUGCCCAGGCUCCCACAGUCCAUCAAGGUGGUGAUUCAUUCUCACUGGAGAACUCCACAUCAAAUUUUGAUCUCUAGCUGCUGAUUUUACUUCUUUCAGUUGAACUACAAGUGCUGAAGACAUGUACAGCAUAUCCAGGCUCCACAAGUUGUCAUAGGUUAUUUUGUGCAUAUACAAAAAUAGUUCCAGGCACCUCCACAAGCAGGUUAGAUUUGGCAGCACUGCACAUGACCUAGUCGGUUCUGGACAAUAUAACUUCUAUUGCUGUAGACGCAGGUGAAGAAUCAAUGGCAAGAUCUUCAAGGAGCAGAGAGGAGAUUUGGACCAGGUUAUGUGUUGCUCAGUGAGGAAAGUCCCUUCAUUUUUCUGUGUACCUCUAUCCCCUGGGAUCAUGGUGUACCAGUCUAAAUUAUUAGUGGUUAUUAGUGGUACUUUUCAACAGGAAUUGCUUCGGCAAGGAUUUAGUUGGAAUAGACAUCAAGGCUUAAAGAUGAUUUUAAAAAGUUCCUUCUGAAUGUUCCUCCAUUUACUAACCAAAAUUGAAAUGUUCCCUGGAAGCAUGUCUGCAGCAGUAAAAUACUGAUGAGAUUCUGGUAGGACUGAACUCUUGCCUAUGCAGAAAGACUAUUGGAGUCUGUCAUGUUCACAUCUCUUCUCAUGGGGCUGCCCUGCCUGAGCAAUGGGGGAAACCCUUCCUUCUGUCAAGAGAAGUGCUGGAAUUUCUGCUGCAGGUGAAACUGUAACUUCGUAGAUCUUGCCUUAAUGUUGUUAGCACCUUUGACUAUAAAGGGACCAUUUUAUUCUCAUUGCAAUUCUAGACUAUCCACGAGACAGGACAAAUCUGACCUUCUGAGCCAAGGUCAAAUCUAACUGCAUCUCUUAUGCUAAAAUGGCAAACCUUUCCCAUUAAAAAGAAAAAGUGUUGUGAACACUGUUCUGUUGAAAAAGACCAAUUAUAAGACUGCAGCAGACAGUAUUUUUCAAUAAAAUAUCACUGGCAGGAAUGAAACUAUAUUCUUUUGAAAAUUCACCAUGUUGAAGCAAGCAAUAAGCAGAAGAAAAACCACUGUGAAAUCUAUAAAAUGCUCUGAAGCAUGUAGGAGGAAUGCCUAACCGCAAAGUAUUCUGCUCAGUAACAAAAACUAGUGGAAAAUGUGCAGGGAUUUUUGAGGCACCAACAAUUAACAUAUGUAUAUGCAAGGUUUACAUAUGAAGUAAAUGAAGUAUAGGUUGCUUGUAUUCUAGAUUAAUUUACAUAAUUUAGCAGUCUUGUAUUUCAUUUCCUUUAUUAAUACAGUAGAUGGCAUAUGUCUUGGGGGUAAACCAAAAGGUGAUUCUGGUGCCUUCAGAAUUGUUAGAUUAGUUCAAACUCUUAGGGCUUAAACUAUGAUGUAGCUGUUUGAGAUGGACAUUAAUUCCUAAAGCUUGCUCUAAAAUGACUGACUGGAGCACAUGUAGCAAGGUAAUUCCAUGGUGGCAUCACUAUGUGCUAACAACACCCAUUUCUGUAGGGGCAAUUUUUUAGACAUGAGAAAUUUUUCUCAAUUUACUCCUACAGUAAGUAGCAAAAACACUUAGCAAGAGAUCUGGCCAUUUCUAUUCACAAGAGCUCUGUAACAUUUCCCAUUAGCAGCAAUCUGCUCACACCAAUAGAGCAGCUAUUUGAUGCUGAGGCUGCUAUGACAGGUACUUGAACAUAUAAAUAGAAUCAUGUUUCGUAAGUGUGACAGUAUCACAUGGCUGAAUACAUGGAAGUGCUGAAGUGGGAAAAAUUCUUCUUACCCUACAAUGAUUAUCAGUGUGCCAAUAUUACAUUCAGUGCAGCGAUGACCUUUGGAAGUGAUAGGCUUGGUUAAACCCAUGAAUGAAGCACUAGUGGCAAGCUUUAGUUUAAACUAUGAUUGUGAUAAAAUGAUGAAAUUAAUAUUUGUGAUGUAGAUGUGCAAAUUUACAGCGCUGUAUCUGCACAUACCCAUGACAUUUUGUCUUCAGUUCGCUGGGUGAUCCUGGAACAUCCCAGGUGAUCUCUGCAUAGAUGAAGGCGAUGGACUGACUUGAGACAAGUCAGUAGAAUUAUCUCCUUCCUGCUUCACAGCAAAGCAACUGACUGAUUGCUACAGCUAUCCAGGUAGGAAUUUCAGACUGUUUUGUGUUGUGGCUGGAUCAGUUGAUAGGCAUUACUUGUAUUCUUCAAUGCUUGAUUAACUCCCUCAGUGAAGGAACGCAGGGCAGUUCCAGUGAUACUCCCAGAAGUUCCUGUAGGAGGUAAGGGAAAUGAACAAAUUGUACACAAAUAGUUGUAAAUAGUGAGAAGAAACUGUUUCUGCAGAUGCAGAAAUGUUUGGAUGCAUUGAAGAUUCAACUAGGCAAGUAACUAAGCAACCUGAACCAUUUAGCAGGAGGUUGGGUUUGAGGACCUUCCAACAAAAGGUCUGUGAAUUAUAAAAAAUAAAAGAAAGAAAGAAAGAAAACCACGACCACCACCAAAAGCUCCAAAAUUGAGUUUGCUUUCUACCAUUUGAAGAAAAUCUAUGACAGAACUAAAAAUUUUAACACAUUUUUUAAUCACGAUUUGUGAGAAUCAAAGCUCAUGGCAGAGCUGUGACAUGAUGGUGAGUUGAUCCAUGCUUGGCUGGAGAUGUAUACCAUGUGUGAAUGAAUUUGGCCACCAUGCAGAGUGAUGUAGGGCCUGCGCUGCUGUAGUGCUGGUGAUUUCUGACAGUGUGUCUGCCAGCACUGUUCUGAUGAGCUUUGAUGUCUCUCCACUCCCUUCCAUACAGCCUCAUCAUUCUUAAGGCCCUGAGCCUCCAUCAUCUCUCUCUCAUGCUUCAAAAUAUCCUGAGCUCCCGUGCCACUCUCUGCUCCCUCACUUGUUGAUUUCAUCUCACCUCUCCCUGAAUUUAGCCAACCUUGUUUUCAUGCUUCUUUUUAUGUAGGAUGCUUUACCUGAUAUGGUAACAGUUGUGUCACAAGUGUUGUGUCAUCUCCUCUCAUAGAUGGAUCUGGAGAAGAGAAAUAUUUUGCCAGAAGCUAAGAACAACUUGGCAUAAUGUAUUGGCAAAUACUUGCAAAGCAUGGCCAUGAGUUGUACCAAUUCUCCAGGACCUUGAGCUUCUUACUUUACCACUUAUAAACACCUGGAACAUGACAUCAGUGGCUCACUGGUUUCCAGCCAGCAGAUUUUCACCCUUGCUGAUCAUCUGGGCACCUGUGAGAGUGAGGUCUUAACUAACCUUCCAAGUCCAUAACCAAUGAGAAGCAGGACGGGACAUACAGAUUCGUAGAACUGUUCUGACCAAAAAUAACAUCAUGAUUCAGAUGCUCGCUGGAUGAAAGAUCAUACAAAUGCUCUAUAAUCUCAUAGUACCCUUUCACAAAUUGUUCAACAAGUUGCUUACCCCAUGUAGGAAGAAUAAUUUCCUCUUCUAUUUUGUUCUGUAUUUGGUUCCCACAAACUUCAUUUGAAGACCCACAGUUCUUGUAGCAGAAAACACAGUUCACAGUUACUUCCUCUUCACCAUCCCCAUGUCAAUCAUAUUUGUAAGGAUAAUUAUCACACCAAAAAUAUUAUUUUUUCGAACUGUGAAAUGGUAGUCUACUAAAUUGCUUCUAGUACAGAUGUUUCCCAUUUCAAUUUAUCCUCCUUGGUUUUCUUGGAAUAUUUUCUAUUUCUAAUUUAACUUGUCUCAGAUAGAGGAUUAAAACUGCAUAGUAUUUGAGAUGUGGGUAAACUGUAGAUUCACAUAGUGGUAUAAUUAUCUUGUCUAUUCUGCUUUCCAUUUUCCUAUUAAGUCCUAACAUUUUAUUUGUGUUUUCUGUUGUUCUUUUUAACUGCUACUGAACAAUAAGCUGAUGAGUUCAUUGAAUGAUUUCAUUUCUGAGCAUUAACGCUGAGCUUAGAGCCCCUUCUUUAAGAUGUGACAUUAGAACUACUUCAGUGCUCAUCACUUUACAUUUACCUGUACUGAAAGCUAUCUGCCACUGUGAUCUACCUAGACAUUCGGUUUUGUAAACUGUGCAGUUCUUCACAGUCAGCUCAUUUACAAAUAUUCUAACAAGAACCGUUUCCCAUAGACAUGGCUGUGGAUGUCCACCAGUUCCUGACCUCUAUUGUAUGAACUGGCUGCUCACUGCCAAGAGUUAUGGGAGGGUGAUAGAAUUUAUAUGUCCCUGAGAAGCAGAGGAUAACAGAAAACAGAAAAAAAAAACCUGAGGAGUAUUGCCAAAUCUUUAUUUGUUUAAAGCUGGAGCUACUCGUGACCAAAGACUACCUAUACUUUCUGUCUUCUGCUCAUUUUGUGAGCUUUUGUGAGCUGUUCCUCUUGUUGUUCAACUAUAUUAAUGUUUCCUACAUAGUUGUUUUCCUGCUGAACUUUGUAAUUGACUGUCCAUGACUAUAUUCCUUAUCAAAUAUGUGUUGUUUGUAACAGAGUAUAGAGAGAUGCAUUACCUGUUCUUACACAGGAAGAAGUUCUGAACCUAGAUCCAGAACAGCCUGCAGAAUUUAAGUAUUUUAUGUCAUGUAUUGCCAAGACUGAAAUCGUGCUAGAGUGUAUCCAUGGGACAGACUAGACAGGCAGUGUGCUACAAGUGCUGUUUUAAAGAUUAUGGAAACAUUGACUGUUUUCUUCUGGGAUAUUUGCAGGAUGAUUUUUGUAGUAUUCAAAUGUUCCUUUAGCAAUUUAGAAUAACCUAAUGUUCCUUUAACAGUACGUGGAACAAUAGAAAAGUUCUGGAAGAAGCUCAGCCUGUUCCUGUUUCACUAAGAUUCUUUCAGUUUAAGUGGAUUAUCAUAAAGCAGUAUUGACAAUUGCCGAGGCAAUUGCACAGGGUACAACUCUCUCCAUCAGCUGAGCAGAGAUAAUUAGAUUGAAAACCUAGCUGCAUUAGUUUAAUACAAUACUGUACCAAAAUGUACAAUCAGUGAUAUAUCAUAUAAUCUCAGCACUAUGUCAAAUCAAUACCUGUUUUCAGCAAAAAAAAUGUGCAAGUUAUGCUGGAGAUACGACUAAUGGGAAUGCUUUUUGGAGCGUGUGUUUGCACUGCAAGGAGAGAUGACAAUUGGUUUCAUCUGGAGUAAUUACAACUCAGUGACCACUAGUUGGGUAAUUACUCAGGAAAUUCUCUGAGGGUAGGGAAGCAGAUCUCAGUUUUGUGCUCAGAAUGUAUCUAGUAUAAAUUCUUUACAUAUGGUAGGAAAAAUAUCCUUUCCCAACAGAAAGGCAAUGAAAACAGAGUAACAGAAAGACUUAUUUAUUCAGGAGCCAAAGAAAGUUGUGUUUCCUAGGUGAUAUUAUUUUUUCUGAAUCUUACAAUGUCAGUUUUGGUCAUCACAAUGCCAUGAACUUCUUGAACAGAUUAAAGAGAACAGGAAGGUGGUUUUGACAAAGCACUCUGUCAUCUGCAUUACUAAUGCACCACAUCUCAGAGGGAGCAAAGUAUUAUGUACUUCAUAAAGUAUGCAUACACUGAAUGCAAUUUAUGAUACAUACUUUAUGAAACAUUGUGAAAAUGUUGUAUCUUGAAAUUAUCUUAGAAUGGUUCUGACCUCCAGGAAGGCCUUUGAAAGCAGAAUGAAUGUGUUAAUUCAAGAACGUGCCUAGACUAUGAAUUCAGGAUGUUCUCUGGGAAGGCAAGGAGGUAUUUUACAUUUGAUACUUAAGAGUGCAGUUCCAGAAAGCAAUUGCAUAGGGACAGGAUGUUAUGUACUAGUGCUGUGUUUGAUGAAGUGUUCCCUAUUCUCAAAGCAUUCCUGUUAUUGGAGUAAGGAGCCAAGGGAAGGGGAAUCUUGACAGAAAAAGAGAAAGUCAGAGUCAAGAGGUGCUGCCAAGGCUCUUUCAUUAGAUUAGGAGACCAUCUUCUGUUUCAUUCUUCUGUUAUAGGGGUAAUCUGAAGCCUUGAAGUCAGUCUAUCAAACCUUUGCAGAACUACUUGUCAAUAAAGCCUUGCUGGCACUGUAGAAUUCUGCUUGUAAAAAUCUGGUCUUUAAAUGAAUACUAUCCACAAAUCUUGUAAAAAUGAUAUUCUUUUUUUUUUUUUCUGUAUUCCCAAGCCUGCCUUGAAAUAAAUUCAUAACUGUGGCACAGUGUGAGAACUUUUGCUGUUUUGUCUCCUUAUAACCUAGAUGAGAGUCAGUUUGCAAGGAAAAAGGAAAGCUGUCUUUCAGUGAGAUCCAUCAAUAGCUAUGUAAAAAUGAAAUACUUGACACGAAGAGACAUUAGUGUGUUUUACUGUGAAAUUUUAGUACCUCCUCUGUGCAUAGCGGGAUUGUGGAACACCAGCUUUUCAGACAGAACUUGGAAGUUUCCAGGUGGGAAUCAUAGCGUGGGCUCACUGCAAACUCUGCUCCAGGCUUGGUGGAGGACUCAAGGCCUUCUGAAUUACUGAAUUAAACUCAUUUUUGAUUAAACUUCAUUUCAUAACAUUUUCCAUCUCUGUAUUGCCAUUUUCAGAACAGUUAAGUCUACCUUGAGGAAUUACUGUUAGGAUUAGUCUAUGUAUUCAAACUUCCAGCAAAUAAAGAACAUUUUAUCAUGGAUCUUUACUAUAACUAAAUAAUAUCUGUAUAGAAUACAGUAUCUAAUGUCUGGAUCAGUACAGAGUGAGCAGAUUAGGUCUGAGCCGAAAUACCAUAGCAUAUUUUAUUGGCUGGGCAACCUCUUUACAGGGAUUGUAAUUUUAGCAGUGAUGGCAACAGUAAUUUCUUUCGCAAAUCACAAUAUACUCCCUAAACAAAAAGAGCUUUGCAAUUUCCCGAGUGAAUGGAAAAAUAAUUUUGUAGGAUCAGUAAAGAUAGCAGUAAUUGUUACAGGAUUUACUGUAAUUCAUGUGAAGAGCCUCAGUUGCUCACGGUAGACUGUCAGAAGUACAAUAUCAUAAAAGUGGAGGCCAUAAUAAGCCUAAGUGUAGCAUAGUUUAAAAGACUAACUUUUUGUUGCUAAGAAAAACAAGAGCUUUGAAGGAGAUGAAGUGACUUCUUCAGAAGCAAUGAAGUUCCCAGUGCCACAACGCCAUGUCACUUCAUCAAGACAACAAUGUGAACAUUUUCCAAGAGUCACUCAGAACUAAGUUGUUAUUGGUGAUUGUCUCCAAGACUAUGGCUAUCUUUGUAUAUCUCUAAACUAGCAUUUAAAUCUGAAAACUUGCAAUUCAGGAAGUCAGUGUAAUAUCAUUGAAAGAGCCCAAGUAGCAGGAUGAGGAAGUGAUGUACUUGCCAGUGCUUGAAAACACAGUACCUAUGCUUGAGCCCUAAUCAAGAUCUUGGAGGCUGAAACUCACCUUCACAGCUAGCUGCUGAUCAGGCCAAGGGAAGAGUUUCUCUGGCAUCUCCUAUCUCCAGGAACAGCAUUAUCACAAGGAGAAACAGGCCACUUCCCACAGCUCCUGGCAUCCCAACCAUAGCACGAUUGGAUUCCUCAGGACAUUCUGUAUCCGUCCAGCCAUGGUCCUAAAAGAAAUGUGGGCACUCACAUGUGGCAAGAUCUUUCACCACAGUGCCUUGGCAGAGGCCUCCAUAAGAAAUGCCUCCCAAAAGUAGAUGGUAGUUAAAGCAUUGUGAAGCAGUGAAGAGGGUGUUUAUGGAAAGCCAAAUCGGGGCUUUACUGGAUCAAAAUGUGUCUGAAGAACCACCAAGGCAUCUGAGAAUUUGUCUCCUGGUCUUCACCUACCUCUGCGGUUGAUCCAUCUAUUAAAAAACAGAUUUGCGCAUGGCUGAACUCCAGGCAUUUUCUGCUCUCAGCAGAACUGAAACCAUUUCUAAUGUGGCCAAACUCUUCCUUUAGUCCUGACAAUGGACAAACAUCAGAAAGAGAAAUGCGAAUGAGAUGAUGAAAUUGUACAGAAAUCAGUCAACCUUGGGAAAAGCAGAUUGCAGAUCAUCUGAGAUCUGAGGAGAGCUGUGGAGGUGAAGCAGAGAAAUCUGGCAAUAGUGUGUCGCCACGGAUGAAAGAACUGCUAUUUGUUUUGGUGCCAUACAAAAUCUCAACACAGACUAUAAAAGCGUUUCCUCCUCUGGAAUUCAUCAAAGCUUUUGGAAGAAACAAGUCAGAGGACACUACUGAACAAGGCAAAACAUGUACUAGUCAAACCAACCACAGCUGAGAUGGAAGAAGUCAGAUGCUGACAUGCUUUUACUUAGUAUGGAAUGGAUUUAAAAUAAGCAUUUACCUAGUGUCAGGCUUGAAAGUGAGGCUGAGGAAAAACUUAGCUGAAAAUGAGACUACAAGGAGAUUUUCACUCUAUUGAAGUAAGUCCAGGUGGUUGAGAUCAGAAUGGAAUUCCAGGAAAUACUAACUGAAGCAGCAAUAGAUGCUCAAGGAUGUGCAAGUUUUUAUUUAUGCUAAGUAUCUCAGGAGGGAACACAGUAUCUUGACAAAGAGAACUGGGAAACACAAUCUGGAUUUCCAGAAUGUUAUGAUGUAUAGAGGUUAGUUGUAAAGCGAAAAGAUAGCACCAUAUUAGAAAAUGUAAAUAAACAACAGCAACAAAAAUUAUAAAUAAAAGGAAAACCAUGUGCCUCUUGCUAUGGCUGAGGGCAUGUCACUCUGAGUGCUAUAUCCUAAAACAUAAGUACUACAAAUACAGAAGGUAUAUGCAAUACAGAUGGAAACAGAAGAGCAACUGGAAGUAAAGAAAAUUAUUUGUGGAGGAACAAUACCAUGAGGUAGAUGAAGUCCUUGGAUAACACAUUUUAUUGAUGUUAGAUUAGUUCAAAUGCUCAGUCAUCCCUUUUUAAAAAGAGACCAUUUAGAAUGGAGACACUUAUUGCUGUGCAAGGGCAGUUAAUGUUAAGGAGACCAUUUCACUGUGUAAGAAAGGCUUUUUUUUUUUUCAUGUAGAGUUUAAUAGGAAGAAAAUCACACUUGUGGCUGGAAAUAGAAAAGAGAAAGGUUUGUCUUAGACAUCAAGAGAAAUACCAAACCUGGUGUAUGACAGCCUCUUACCAAACAGAUUCUUACAGCAUGUGGCAAUGUUACAAAGCCUAAAGAGAGAACAUGUUGAGAAUUAAUAUCACUGAAUAUAUCUGCCUGCUUGUGCCUGUCCAGGUACAGAGAGAGCAGACACCAGGUGAUUCUUCCCAUCCCUUGACCUACUGUCUAGUACCAGAAAGCACAGGUAAGAAGGAAGUCGCCACCUUCUGCUGUACCAAAUCAGGUCAACCAAGACAAGCUUACUCUCAUGAAGAUAUCAGGUGCUAACAUCACUGGGGGUCUUUCCACUGGUGGUAGGGAGAGUUACAUCUCACUUUAAUUCUCAGCCCUAUUAAGCUGCUGCCCGGUACUAAAUUCCAACAUGGUAGCUUUAUAAGGAAAACCACUGGCUCUUAAUUUUAGGGUUUUUCAUUUUGACAGAAUAGCAUAGGAAAUAUAUUGACAGAAAAGGGAAGAAAAUAAAUUGUUAACCCUGAAGGCGUAAGCGAAUCACGUUACUCUACUUUAUGAAUAGGCAACAGUUUAAACUUUGACAAUAAACAUUCUUUUUUGUUUGUUUGGUUGGUUUUGUUUUUGUACAUUUCCUGUUGAGUAGGGAAGCAGUGUUAACAGGUAACUGAUUUGACAUUACAUGUAUUGGUGACCUGCAAAGCUUGAUAUAGACAAAAUAGUGGAUGGAGGAGAGAAAGUUGGUUUAGCAGUUGAAUGUAGACCUAAAAGCAAAGAAAUUCUCAGUUCUAAUUGUACUGCUCCUACCUGCUUACCGGGUGGCUGUUAAAGCUUGGCAAGUCUUGGGAGGUGGAGAACUAUGUGUUAGCAUUAAGCUGGUACAAUGAGGCUUUAACGAGGGUGAAAUUGGCUACUUCUCUGCAGAGAUGGUUUAACUGUUUUAAAAGUGAAUAUAUAUAAAUACACUACUGAAUUUGAAAAGAAAGCUUUUAGUGCCUUUAGCAUGAAAUCUUGAGAAUGAGCCAUGAAACAACUUCAGUAAUUAUUACACUAGAGACUGUUAUAUUUUCAUAUGUGCUAAUGCUGCUAUCAAAGGUAAAUCUACUUCUAAUUCAUAAUUCCUUCUGAUUGAAAAUAUUCUUUUAAUCUCUGUGCAGCUGAUAUAAACCAAUGAUUUCUCAGAACAGGGGUGGGAAUUUGGCAAUAUUUUCCUUCCUGCUUGAGUGGUAAGCCAACUCUGACAUUUUAUGCUGUUUUAAUUAAAUCACUGUGAUCUUUGCAGGUCACUGUUUGGUCUGACAGUGUUUUAAAGCUUAACAUUCAGAAGUAAAUUAUUUUAACAAAUGCACACAAAUAUUCUGAAAUGAAUCCCUUCAGUGUUGAGACUGCACUGUCUGUUAUCUCUGUUUUAAAGUAAAACAGAUGGUUCAUAUUGCAAAUGAUGCAUGAAUAGGACUUCCCCAAUGUGAUGCAAAUGGAUCGUUGAAACUGGAAUUGUGCAGAUGAAAAGAGGCUGCUGUUGGUAGAAGCUUCUGGCACAAACAUCAGUAAUAAAUAUGUUCUUUAGUUAUGUUUCACCACCUUUUAAAAAGUAAAGCAUGUUCAGAUAAAAAUAACCACACGUAAAAAUGGCUCCAAGUGACUAUUUCAAGGAGAAUAAUACAGCUCAGUAAGUCAGCUCCUGAUCCUAUUGCUGAUCCCUGUUGUCACCUUUGGCAAGUGUGCUCACACAGCCUCUCUGGGCCGCAAGGUAAAACUUCGGGGUCACAACAUCCUGCUGUUUAUUGUCUGUCUCACAUGUUCAAACCAUGCAUGUGUGGAGCAGACAUUUAUUUGCAGGAGCUGGCACAACCAUUGUAUGCUGCCGUAAUCCAGAGAUAAGCAACUUCUGUGGAACAAUACCGUGAUGGGAGCAAUAUCUUCCUGUGCUGGAAUGACUUUCCACGUGCACAGAACUGUAUGGAAUGGAUCUGUGAGCCCUUAUAACAAAAAACAGCCAUUUCAUUUGAGCAGACCUCACUGUAUUCACUGCAGUGUACUUACUUGAAAUAACAUAUUACUAAUAUGAGUGAGUGAGAAACAGAUCAAAAUUCCCCUUCGUGUGCCCCAUUUUGAAAAAGGCUUGAACUUUCAGUCUAUUUCCACAAUAGUUAAUAUUUGUGAUUCAGUGAUUAAAAUGAAAUAUAUUCUUAGGCUGAGAGUAUUCUGACUAGAUUUGUGUACAGUUUUCAGUAACUGAUUCUUCCCAACAUUGCCUCUAUCAGAGGAGGAAAAUUCAGAUUUAUCUCAAGAAACAAGUAUUCAAACUAAUAAGCUCUUGUCCUACUAAUUUUGGCAUUAAAACUUCACAACAGCUUUCUUUCAAAAUGGAGUAUCCAACUCAAUAUGUUACCAGCUUUUUUUCUUUUUUAGUUUCAUUGAGUGUGAUAUUGGUUUUGCAAAAUAAUUUAAUGAAUUAUUUAUUUUGGUGCUUGGGCCUGGUUUCUCACAGAUUUUGCUGAUUUACGAAAUGUCUGGAAGAGCCAGCUGCAACAGGUUCAUCUGCAGAAUGGGAAGAAGAUACUCAUAAGAAAAAAAGAUACCUAAGCCUUUGCUUGUCAUUCUAAUUGCACUGUAGACGAUUUUGCAGAUUCUGAUCUCAAGGACUCAUUUUCCUGUGUUUAUGAUCAACAUUUGCUCCCAUUGUUGAGUAACAUUUGAUCACCAAUUCCCUCCUUGAAACCCUUCGGCAAAUGUCAACUUUCUUUUUGUCUAUUAAAAAUCAUGUUGCUAAAGAACCCUUCCCCUCCCCCCUCCCACUUUUGCCCGAUUUACCAUAGAUUUCCUGAAUUUCAACCUCCUCAGUUCUGUGGCUCUUGAUUCAUUGCACCCAGCUCUGAAGGAGGCCUAGCAUGUACCCUGCCAGCAAGAACCUGAGAGGAUCUGGAGAAGCAAAGGCUCACUGUUUGGGAAGAGAGGACUUGUGCAAGGAUGAGAAAGAAGCGUUACAGAGCAUAUGAAAGAAAGAAGCUAUACAAAUUAGAAAUGAUAGAGAAAACCAAAUUUUUCAAGGGCUGUUAGAAAUUUGCCUGGUUCUAGCCACUGAACCUUAUAUGUAUGUAAUGCUCUCUCCACAAGCUUGCAGGGGUACCCAAUGCUUGUCUCAGUGUUUUUCUGACAGCAUGGGUACACUUGCUUGCCCUUACAUGCUACGGAGAUCACCAAACUGGAGGACCCAUUGGGGUUUUGCUCCUUGCCUAACAAGUCUGAUCACAAAGAGGGCUAUUUGGCUGUCAUAGCAAGUAAUGCAGGCAAACCCCAUAAAAUAAAAUGAUCAACAAUCUGCGCAUGGAAUCAUGCCCAUUCUCACAACAUCUAGAAUUAUUCCCCUGACUUUUCAGGGCUCUUUAUCUUAAACACUCCAUGAAAUCAUUCAGCAACUAACAGUCACUGAUUUUUUCUGGAGUGGGAAGAGAAUGUACAUUUUUGCAUCUGUUUGCUUGGCUCCUGGGACUUUUUCUGCUUUUAACAUUCCCUGGUAAUGUCUCGUGCUGAGUCUGUGCCUUGGGCGGCAGCCACUGCACAGAGGGACCAUGCAGGCAGAAUAAAUAACAAGAGUGCUGAGAGACUUUCCUUGAUACAAAUGGCUGUAGAUUGGGAAGAGAGAGCAUAUUUCCUUAGUACAGAAAAGGCCCCUACGGCUGAUGCUGUAGGAAACUAAUUCAUUGUUGUCACUCUCUGUUCUGGGAAGGGACGGAGGAGCUUUUUCAUAUUCCUUUGGUUCUGCUGUGUAGUCUGCCACAGCAGUUGGCAUUAGUAAAACCAGCCCUGUUCUCAUCUGUUCAAAAUAUCACUGGUAUUUCAGAAUGCUGAUUACUCAGACAGACUGCAAGGCAGAGAUUUGUGAGUUUGAAAAGCCAGGCAACAAACUGUUUUGCUGAAGUGGCAAUGAAAUGGAAAAUGGAGGCAGGGUACAAGCAACCCACUUAAGGGACCUGGCAAAGCUGUGGGGGAAAAGGGUUGCGGCUGAAAGAGAGCAUUUAGCUGAAGAGAACAUUUAGUCAGCACUUUAGCUGCUAGACUCCAUCUAGAGCACUGACUCCAGCUUUGUCCCCUCCUCAGCACAAGAAAGGCACCUAUAACCAAGAGCGGAGGGCCCCACAGUCAGGUUAGGACCACUUGCCCUCUAAGAAGAGGCUGAGGGAGAGGGGCUUCUUCAGGCAGGAAAUGUGAUGGCCUGAAAGGAGAUAACUGAAAAGCUGGAGCCAAGCUGUUGGCAGUGGGACAUGUCAGGCAAACAAGUGACAGUGGAUUUCCUAAGAGCUUUCUCAAGGCCCAGCUGCAUAAAUCCCUGAGCAACCUGGUCUGAGCUCAGAGCCAGCCUUGCUUUGAACUAGAGACCUUCUGACAUUCCUUCCCACCUGAGUUACACUGUGAUCCUGAUUAUCAGCUGCUCUGGUCACGCUAGAUGUCAUGGCAACCCUGCAUAUCUGAUGGCCAGAAAACACCUCAGUCAUCACCUAAAACCAGCAGCCAGCAGACUAACUCCAAAUCGCAACAGGCUAAUGCUGAGGCCUUCAGGCUCUAAGUGUAUAUAUAUAUAUAUACAUAUAUAUAUUUAUAUAUGUACAUAAAAAGAAGGAAACCUUGAGAAGUGACUUCUGUCACUUAAUCUUAGUGUAUUCAAUGCAGUGACAGCAGUCUGGGGCUGCAAAGAGCCUAAAAAAUGGUUUCAACCCGGAAGUGUUUCCUCCUUGUAGGAAAUUAGGACCCAAACCUCCUGCUUGGAGGAUCUCUGUCCUCUUAGUGGUAGUCUGGUGUCAGGCACUCUGCAGUUUACAAACAGCAAAUCUGGAUAACUUGCAUCGAGAGAAAUAGCCAAUUAUUUCAAUCACUUGGUGAUGGUACAGUAAAAAGGAAAAAUGGGUUAAUAGAGGCAAUUGCCUUUCUAGCCUGAUGUAUGUCCCUUACAAAAUAAUGACAAAACUGAGACAAGAUUUAAUUAAUAAAGAUAUAAGUGGAGAUAAAAGGUGUGGAUAUUAUUUCAUGACAGUCAAUAUGAUGUUAUUAAAAAAAAGUCUUGUCAGGAAAGUCCAGUUUUAUUGGGAAUUACAUGUUUGUUUGAUAAAGACUGUUGUGCAGACAUAAAAGAUUUCCAUGGUUUAAUGUGUUUUGUUCACUGCCAUUGAACAAUCUGAGCUAAAAAAAAAAAAAAAGAGCAACCGCGUGGCAAGGCUGCAAAAUGAGCAAUUAGUGUCAAUAAAGCUCAGAUAGGAUGGAUUUAGAACUUACUAAAUGGCAGAUUGCAAAGCUGUUGCUAAUGUGAAUUUUCCUCUGAAUGAGUCUGUUUCUAGUGGCAUCCCAUGGUGGCACGUACCAGAAACAGUGCUGACCAACAAAUUUUAUCAGUGUUCUGGAAAAAAUGUAACAUUCCUGUUGAUGUAAAAUAAAUCUGUGAAUAUCACAUGCUGGUAGAAUAGAAAUAAAGAUGAGAACAAGUCAA